UACGUAGGGUGCAAGCGUUGUUCGGAAUCAUUGGGCGUAAAGCGCGUGUAGGUGGUUUGUUAAGUCGGUUGUGAAAUCCCUGGGCUUAACCGAGGAAGUGCAUUCGAAACUAGCAGACUAGAGGACGGCAGAGGAAGGUGGAAUUCCCAGUGUAGAGGUGAAAUUCGUAGAUAUUGGGAGGAAUACCGGCGGCGAAGGCGGCCUUCUGGACCGUUCCUGACACUGAGACGCGAAAGCGUGGGUAGCAAACAGG
rnacentral:rRNA from 1 species